GCGGGAUUGGUUCAGUGGCAGAACGCUACCUUCCCAAGGUAGAAAUGCGAGUUCGAUUCUCGUAUCCCGCU
rnacentral:tRNA from 1 species